rnacentral:rRNA from 1 species
UACGGAGGAUGCGAGCGUUAUCCGGAAUCAUUGGGUUUAAAGGGUGCGUAGGCUGGUAUUUAAGUCAGUGGUGAAAUGUCCGUGCUUAACAUGGGAAUUGCCAUUGAUACUGGGUACCUUGAGUGUAUUUGAUGUGGGCGGAAUGUGUCAAGUAGCGGUGAAAUGCAUAGAUAUGACACAGAACACCGAUAGCGAAGGCAGCUCACAAAGUUACAACUGACGCUGAUGCACGAAAGCGUGGGGAUCAAACAGGAUUAGAUACCCCCGUAGUCC